rnacentral:rRNA from 1 species
CGAGAGGACCGGAGUGGACGCAUCACUGGUGUUCGGGUUGUCAUGCCAAUGGCACUGCCCGGUAGCUAAAUGCGGAAGAGAUAAGUGCUGAAAGCAUCUAAGCACGAAACUUGCCCCGAGAUGAGUUCUCCCUGACUCCUUGAGAGUCCUGAAGGAACGUUGAAGACGACGACGUUGAUAGGCCGGGUGUGUAAGCGCAGCGAUGCGUUGAGCUAACCGGUACUAAUGAACCGUGAGGCUUAACCUUACAACGCCGAAG